GUGGGGAAUAUUGGACAAUGGGCGCAAGCCUGAUCCAGCAAUGCCGCGUGGGUGAAGAAGGUCUUCGGAUCGUAAAGCCCUUUCGACAGGGACGAUGAUGACGGUACCUGUAGAAGAAGCCCCGGCUAACUUCGUGCCAGCAGCCGCGGUAAUACGAAGGGGGCUAGCGUUACUCGGAAUUACUGGGCGUAAAGGGCGCGUAGGCGGCUCUGUUAGUCAGGCGUGAAAUUCCUGGGCUUAACCUGGGGACUGCGCUUGAUACUGAAGGGCUUGAGGCCGAGAGAGGGUGGUGGAAUUCCCAGUGUAGAGGUGAAAUUCGUAGAUAUUGGGAAGAACACCGGUGGCGAAGGCGACCACCUGGCUCGGUUCUGACGCUGAGGCGCGACAGCGUGGGGAGCAAACAGGAUUAGAAACCCCUGUAGUCC
rnacentral:rRNA from 1 species